UUUUUUUUUACGUUUAAGAAUCUAGUCUGUAUUUCCUUUCAUUAUUAGAUAUUUAAAAAAUGUUUACAUCCUACAUAAAAGCUUUAGACUGUUCUUAGAUCUCUUUCCACCUACCCUGUUCCCAUGAGCAAAUUAGCUAAGUGGGACAUUUUACUCAGGUGCUUCCUAAUUGUGACUUGAAGAAGGAAGCCCUGAAUGACAAGUGUAGCACUUGAUUUUUAGCAGCUUGGCCUCAUGCAAAGCUGUGAGCAUCAUGUUUCCACUGCAGUCGGCGGUGCCCUGCAGAGGAGCCCUCCAAGGCAGGCCGCCUGUCCCCUUCAUGUCAGCUGCCUUGUCAGAUGCUGGCACAGCUUUGCUUAAGACUUGACUUCCAUUCUAUCAGAUUACAACUCACCUGCCACUGUCCCUCUGCCAGCAAGAAAGACACUGGAAAUGUCCUCAGCUAUAGAUUAAGUCCCAAAACCAAGGAUGGAGAUUCAACAACUUUUACUCACUCAGGAGUCUUAAAUGUCUCAGAUUCUCCAUUUUUCAGUAUGUACACAUGGAGAAAUGUUUUGUUAUCCUGCUUCAAGACACCACAGAGUAAACAUACCUCAAAACUCACAGAGGGAAGAAAAUGCAAAAUGAUGUCAGGAGAGAAGCAGAUCCAGGCGGAAUAUCACCAUGAGGCAGCAGAUCCUUGAUUCGAACAUCCGCUUAACGAUAAUAUAGAUACCACGGUCACUGCAACCUCUGCCUCGUGGGUUCAAACGAUCCUCAUGCCUCGGCCUCCCAAGUAGCUAGGACUACAGUCACAUGCCACCACGUACAGCUAAUUUUUUUUUUUUUUUUUUUUUUGGUAGAGAUAGGGUUUCACUGUGUUGGCCCUGCUGGUUUCAAACUCCUGGCCUCAAGUGAUCCACCCACCUUGACCCCUUCAAAGUGCUGGGUUUACAGGCAUGAGCCACUGCACCUGGCCUCAGUGAACACUUAUCCCCACACUUCUGUACCCUUGACAGGGGUGUUUUGAGGGUACUGGUAAUAACUGAAAAAUUAAAUAUAAAUGAAAUUGGAAGAUGUGUUUCAUAAACAUUUUGGGCAGACUUGCAUGGCUAUGUUCUUUGCACCCCUCUAUGAAUACGGCAUGAAGGAGCUCAGCUGCUACAACAGAGGACUUCCACCUUCUGCGUUCGGUUUUCUCUGAAAUCUUCUGGCAAACGAAUGGCACUACUGAUAAAAAUUCAACAGCUGCAUAAUUAUACCCAUGAGUUUCUUCUGCGGGAAGCAGCAUUUGACAGCAAACGUGAUUUGACCACGUGACUAAAGCUACACCACUGUUUAGGUUAGAAUUAAAAAAUAUAAGGAGACAUAUGGGGACAACUCUGUAUAUAAAUAUCAGUAGUGGAAAGAGAAAAUUGCAUGUUGUAUUAUAAUUUCAUGGACUUUUUGCUUUUCUUAUUUCCACAGAUUUGAUUAUUAAUAAUAAAUUACACAUCUAAAGGAAUUUAUAGCUCCCC
rnacentral:lncRNA from 13 species